GGCGCCGUAGCCAAGUGGUAAGGCAGAGGUCUGCAAAACCUCCAUCAUCGGUUCGACUCCGAUCGGCGCCUCCA
rnacentral:tRNA from 1 species